GCACAAGCGGUGGAGCAUGUGGUUUAAUUCGACGAUACGCGAAGAACCUUACCUGGCCUUGACAUGCUAAAAAGACUUUAAGAGAUUAGAGUGUGCUAGCUUGCUAGAAUUUAGAUACAGGUGCUGCACGGCUGUCGUCAGCUCGUGUCGUGAGAUGUUGGGUUAAGUCCCGCAACGAGCGCAACCUCGUGUUUAGUUGCUAACAGUUCGGCUGAGAACUCUAAACAGACUGCCUACGCAAGUAGGAGGAAGGUGAGGACGACGUCAAGUCAUCAUGGCCCUUACGGCCAGGGCUACACACGUGCUACAAUGGGGUAUACAAAGAGCAGCGAUACGGUGACGUGGAGCAAAUCUAGAAAAUGCCUCUCAGUUCGGAUUGUAGUCUGCAACUCGACUACAUGAAGUUGGAAUCGCUAGUAAUCGUAGAUCAGCAAUGCUACGGUGAAUACGUUCCCGGGUCUU
rnacentral:rRNA from 1 species